UACGUAGGGGGCAAGCGUUGUCCGGAAUCAUUGGGCGUAAAGCGCGUGUAGGCGGCCCGGUAAGUCCGCUGUGAAAGUCGGGGGCUCAACCCUCGAAUGCCGGUGGAUACUGCCGGACUAGAGUUCGGAAGAGGCGAGUGGAAUUCCCGGUGUAGCGGUGAAAUGCGCAGAUAUCGGGAGGAACACCUAUGGCGAAGGCAGCUCGCUGGGACGUUACUGACGCUGAGACGCGAAAGCGUGGGGAGCAAACAGG
rnacentral:rRNA from 1 species